CCUGAACGGGAGUGAGAUUUUUUUUAAACCUGAUGUCACAUCCAGGACAAACAAGAGAAGUCCUUUUAACCAAAUAGGACUCCUAUAUAACAAGAGUCUUUGAGAAGAGAGUCGUAUGACCUAAGAUGUCCCCUCCAACUACUUUGAGAGACAUCUAUCUGCACAUGUGCACAAGGUGAAGAUUGAAUGCAGCAUUGUCUGUCUUAGCAAAAGCUAAACACAACCCAAAUAUCCAGGGAUAGGAAAAUAACUCAAUAAACGUCGGCUUAUCCUUAUUAUGGAAUCCCACACAGCAGUUGCAGAUCUUCAUGUGUUGACGUGGAAAUGUCUCCAAGGCAUACUGCCAAGUGAAUGGACAGCAUGUUAACGUCUGUGCGCCACUCGGCCUCACAAAUAAAAACGAUUCAGCAUAUCUAUCUGUCUAUAUCUCACUUAGGUAUCUGAAAAUAUACGUACGUACAUUUCAAAAAAGGGUACGCAUUAACCAAUAAUAGUGGCUGUCUCUAUGAUGGCUAUAACAACUCGAUUGAAGCUGGUUAAUGAGGACUUUAGUCUUACCGGUUUUAAGGAAGUUUUCAACAAGAACAUGUUUGUUUACAAUAUGCGUAAUUUUAAAGUGUUUUAAAAAAUAACUGUGAAGAUUUCACUACACUAAUACUUACCAAGGCAUUAUUCGGUAGAGUGAAAAUUUGGAAAUAGCAUAAUUGUCCAACUACAAGGUAUUUAGUUAAAUAUAUUAGGGGAGAUCUCAUGAUACAUUACAACACAACCAUCAAAAUAAUAUUUAGAAGUCCAGUAAACAACCAAGAGGAAAUGUUCAGAAUAAUGAUCAAAAGAAAAAAGCAGAUUACGAAACAGAGUGCACCUCAUUAAACACCUGUCAACCCCAGGGUCCAGGGCAGAGAAGUCAGAUUCCAAAAUCAGAGCAUGCUGGCCCAAAGGCUAAAGGUUCGGUAAUGCCAAAGUCAGCAAUGCUGGUGCAGACACAACAGAAAACUGAGGGCCAAAGAAAUUGAGAAGAAAGCCAGGCCAGACGGCUGGAUCAAGGAUGGAGGCAAAGUGCUAAGGGUGCUGCCUUAGACAAAUCCUGUCUGCACCUCUCCUCCUUCCACACCCUUCUGGAGUAGGCCCAGCUGUGCCCAGGGUCUGAACCCAGGCACUGAUUGUCCCGAGUCUGGAGGAGGUCUGGGCCUCGCCCUCUAACUGCUUCAGCAGGGACUGGGUCAGGCCAAGGACAAUGGCCUCCACCUGCUGGGAGAUCUUUCCAGACCAGAGAGCGGAACCUGCAGAAUGCAGAGGCCUUCUGGUUUGCUGGACAGUGGUGUACAUUCCAGGCUCAACUCUUCAUUCCUCUAGGGAGUGAAAAAACCCGCUCCACCUCCUGAGAGCAAGGCUAGGUUGUGAAUACCCUUUCCUUUGACGUAUUGAGAAACGGGUCCACAUUCAUUCAGUCACGAGAAAUGUCACUCAAAAUGGGAGUUUCCUCCUUGAGAAUCAAGAAUGAAUGUUAGAAAAUUAAGUGGCAGAAUUAGUCAAAGAGCAACCCCUUAGUGGAAUAGAUUUGACAUUACAGAAAAGGAACAGAGAGAAAGGAGAGAGAACAGAAAAAGGGGGUGGGUGGAUAAACGGUGGGGAGAGAAAGAGAGCUUGAUUUCUGCGUUUAUAAAUGACAAUGCGGUUUUGUCUAACCACCUGCUGCAGCAGGGCUGGGACACAAGGGAACCUGUGCCCUCCCAUGCGGUGGAGGGUAGAAGAUCAGAAAGACGAGAGGCCGGGGAGAGGCC
rnacentral:lncRNA from 1 species